rnacentral:rRNA from 1 species
CACGUAGGGUGCGAGCGUUGUCCGGAAUUAUUGGGCGUAAAGCGCACGUAGGCGGCUUCUUAAGUCAGGGGUGAAAUCCUGGAGCUCAACUCCAGAACUGCCUUUGAUACUGAGAAGCUUGAGUCCGGGAGAGGUGAGUGGAACUGCGAGUGUAGAGGUGAAAUUCGUAGAUAUUCGCAAGAACACCAGUGGCGAAGGCGGCUCACUGGCCCGGUACUGACGCUGAGGUGCGAAAGCGUGGGGAGCAAACAGG